GCCGCUCGAGCGCAUCGCGCCCGGCGCGGGCGCGGCGCUGCGCCGCGGCGCCGAGCACACGCUCGACCAGCUCACGUCGCCCGUGAACCUGUGGCAGGCCGGCUUCGACGCAUCGUGGGAGCUCGACCUGUUCGGCCGCGUGCGGCGCUCGGUCGAGGCGGCGGGCGCGCAGACGCAAGCCGCGAUUGAAGGCCGCAACGACGCGCUGCUGUCGCUCGAAGCGGAAGUCGCGCAGACCUAUCUGCAACUGCGCGGCGCGCAGGCGCUGCGCGCGCUCGCCGACGAGCAGCGCGACGUCGUCGCGCUCACGCGCGAUCAGGCGCGCAAGGGGCUAUCGAGCGAGCUCGACGUGCAAAGCGCCGACGCGCGGCUCGCGCAACUGCGCGCGCAGUUGCCGCAAUUCGACCAGCAGAUCGCGCUGCUGCGCAACGGCCUGUCCUACCUGCUCGGCGACGCGCCGGGCGCGCUCGACGACGCGCUGCGCGAGCCGCGCGCGCUGCCGGAGCUUCCGCCGACGGUGCCGAUCGGGCUGCCGUCGACGCUCGCGCGCCGCCGCCCGGACAUCCGUCGCGCGGAAGCGCAACUGCACGCGGCGACCGCCGGCGUCGGCGUGGCUGUCGCGCAGUUCUACCCGGACGUCUCGCUGACGGGCCAGGUCGGCACGCGCGCGAGCUCGCGCACUGGUCGCAUCUGUUCUAUGCGUUCGGGCCGAGCGUGUCGCUGCCGAUCUUCGAGGGCGGCGCGCUCGUCGCGAACCUGCGCCUGUCGCAGGCGCAACAGGCGCAGGCGGCGCUCGGCUAUCGGCGCGCCGUGCUGCUCGCGCUGCGCGACGUCGACAACGCGCUCGCCGCGUACCGGACCGACCAGACGCGCCGUGACGCGCUGCGUGACGCGGCGGCCGCCGAGCGCACGACGUUCGAGCUCGCGCGCGACAGCUAUCGCCACGGGCUCGUGUCGUUCAUCGACGUGCUCGACGCCGAGCGCGAGCUGUCGCAGGCACGCCAGCAAUACGUGCAGGGCAGCCUGCAACUGACGACCGAUCUCGUCUCGCUGUACAAGGCGCUCGGCGGCGGCUGGCAGCCCGUGCCGGCGGCGCAAACGCCCGCGCCCGCCGCCCUCGACGCCCCGACGCAAGACACGCCGCUCGGCGCAACGGCGCCUGCGCGACGAUGAACAGCCGCUUGAACGGAAACCGCGUGCGGCCGUCGUCUCCGCGCGGAUAGAGCGCAUGCAGGCGCGGCACGUAUCGAUCGAGACAGCGGUCGCGCUCGUCGGCAGCGGGGCCGUCGGUGACGAUCCGCAGGCCCGACACCCUGCUCCAGUCGAGCGCCGGGUGCUCGCCCUCGGCGAUCUGCAGACAAUCGGUCUGCCAGGUGGCCGGCCCCUGAACGCGACGUGCGACGCAUCGCCGCAAGCACCGGGCGGCCGCGCGCGUGCGACGCGCAUCGCACGGCUCGCCCGCGUCGGACGGGCGCGUCAGACCAGCCCGUUCUCCGUCGCGUACAUGAACAGAUCGACGUCCGAUUUCAGCCCGAGCUUGCCCAUCGCGUUGUGCUUGUGCGUGCUGACCGUCUUGAUGCUGCGGCCAUAGCGGUUCGCGAUGUCGGUCAUCGUCAUCCCGGUCGCGCAUAGCCGCACCACCUCGAUCUCGCGCGGGCUCAGUUGCCGCGGCGCGUCGGUCCCGCGCAUCGCUCCCCCGCCCGCCGCGCCCGCGUGCGUGCCGACGAACGGCCGCCCCUGGUACACGGCGGCGAGCGCGCGCGGCAGCUCGUCGAGGUCGCCGCGCUUGCUGAGCACCGCGAGCGCGCCCGCCUGGCGCAUCGUGUGCAUCAGCACCGGAUUGUCGAGCAUCGUCAGCACGAUCACGCGAACCGAGGGAUAGCCGUCGCGGAUCGCGGUGAGCAUCGCGAGGCCGUCGGCGGCCGGCUGCUCGGGCAUCGCGAAAUCGGUGAUGACGAUGUCGCACGGCGUGGCCGCGAGCAGCGCGAGCAGCCCCGCCGGGUCAUGCGCUUCGCCGACGAUCGAUACGUCGCCCAUGCCCGCCAGCAUGUGGCGCACGCCCAGCAGCACGAGCGGAUGGUCGUCCGCGAUCAACACUUGAACGCUCAUUUACCUUCCUCCUUUUGGAUCGCCGCGAUCGCGCGAUUGCGCCGAAUGCGCAACGCAGCGCAGCAGAUGGUUCACCAUCGCGAGAAUGUCCCGGGUCGCGCCGCGAAUCGCGCGCGCGUCGCCCGCCGUCAGCAGAUGGUGGAAUUCGUCGAGCAGCGCGUCGACAUGCGCCUGCCCGAACAGGCUGUACGUGCCGCGCGCCGUAUGGCACCACGCGCGCAGCUCGCGCUCGGACAGGCCGUCGCGCAGAUGGCGCGUGAGCGUAUCCCGGUCGCGUUCGAGCGCGCGGCCGCAGGCGCGCAGGAUCGCGUCGCGCGCCGCGCCUGGCGCGGAGGACGCGCCGAAUCCCGCGAACAGGCGCGCCGCAUCGAUACGCGACGGAUCGAAGCGCAGCGCGGGCACGGGCUCGAUCGCCUCGACGAGCGCACGCUCGAGCGCGUCGAGCGUCGUCGGCUUGCCGAUGCACAGCGUCAUGCCCGCAUCGACGCAGCGCGCAUGCUCGGCGUCCGAUACGAGCGCCGUCACGCCGACGAUGGGCGUCGCGCGCACGCGCGCAUCCGGAUGCGCGCGGAUCGCCGCCGUCAGCGCGAUGCCGUCCAUGCCCGGCAUCCGGCAGUCGGUGAGCACGACGUCGUACGCGGCCGUGCCGAGCGCGCGCAACGCCUCGUCGCCGCUCGCGCAGAGGCGCGCGUGGUGGCCGAGCGCGUCGAGCUGAUAGCGCAGCACGAUGCGAUUCAUCUCCUGAUCGUCGACGACGAGCACCCGAUACGCGCCCGGUUCGGCCCGCGCCGCCGUGUGCGCGCACGCCGCGUCGCGCGCAUCGCGCGCGUCGAGCGCGGCGCGCAGGCCGUCGAUGAACGCUCGCCAGCCGAGCGGAUUGCUGCUCAGGCGCACGUGCGUGCCGCUGUCGGUCCAGCCGGCGAGCGCCGGCGCAUCGGUCACGCCGACCCAGCCGAG
rnacentral:rRNA from 1 species